rnacentral:tRNA from 1 species
GCCGUAGCUCAAUAGCAGAGCAUCUGCUUUGCAUGCAGAAGGUCCUAGGUUCAAUCCCCGGCACCUCCA